GACGAACGCUGGCGGCGUGCUUAACACAUGCAAGUCGAACGGAAAGGCCCUGCUUUUGUGGGGUGCUCGAGUGGCGAACGGGUGAGUAACACGUGAGUAACCUGCCCUUGACUUUGGGAUAACUUCAGGAAACUGGGGCUAAUACCGGAUAGGAGCUCCUGCUGCAUGGUGGGGGUUGGAAAGAUUCGGCGGUUGGGGAUGGACUCGCGGCUUAUCAGCUUGUUGGUGGGGUAGUGGCUUACCAAGGCUUUGACGGGUAGCCGGCCUGAGAGGGUGACCGGCUACAUUGGGACUGAGAUACGGCCCAGACUCCUACGGGAGGCAGCAGUGGGGAAUAUUGCACAAUGGGCGGAAGCCUGAUGCAGCAACGCCGCGUGCGGGAUGACGGCCUUCGGGUUGUAAACCGCUUUCGCCUGUGACGAAGCGUGAGUGACGGUAAUGGGUAAAGAAGCACCGGCUAACUACGUG
rnacentral:rRNA from 1 species